AUUGAACGCUGGCGGCAUGCCUUACACAUGCAAGUCGAACGGUAACAGGGAGCUUGCUCCGCUGACGAGUGGCGAACGGGUGAGUAAUGUAUCGGAACGUACCUUUUAGUGGGGGAUAACGUAGCGAAAGUUACGCUAAUACCGCAUAUUCUCUGAGGAGGAAAGCAGGGGACCGUCGGGCCUUGCGCUAAUAGAGCGGCUGAUAUCAGAUUAGCUAGUUGGUGAGGUAAAGGCUCACCAAGGCGACGAUCUGUAGCGGGUCUGAGAGGAUGAUCCGCCACACUGGAACUGAGACACGGUCCAGACUCCUACGGGAGUCAGCAGUGGGGAAUUUUGGACAAUGGGGGCAACCCUGAUCCAGCCAUGCCGCGCGAGUGAAGAAGGCCUUCGGGUUGUAAAGCUCUUUCGGCCGGGAAAAAAUCGCAUGGGUUAAUACCCUGUGUGGAUGAUGGUACCGGAAUAAGAAGCACCGGCUAACUACGUGCCAGCCGCCGCCGUAA
rnacentral:rRNA from 1 species